AGAAGUAGGUCAUGGAGGAUGGCGCAAUAAUGCUUCAAGUAUGUGAGAGCCAAACAGCUAGAGACAUGACAUCCCAAGGGGAUAAUCGUAAUUGUGAGGGAACACCUCACAUUUCACCGCACAUUCACAUUCGCCAUCUAGUGCCAUCUGAAAAUGCCGACUGUGUUUCCUGUGAUCGACUGCCGACCUGCCCAGAGUGUGUUCCUGCCUCUCGCCCAAUGGCCACUGGGAUAGGCUCCAGCUCUCCCCCUGCAGCCCUGAACAGGACUGGCUAUCGUUGGUUAACUGAAGAUGUAUGUAUAGCCACUGGAGCUGUACCUGAUCGAAGACAUCUGCAUUCUCAUCUGGCAGUCGCACGCCUGGAUCUCUUUUACUGUCAAAUGCAAAUAACGUUUGAUUCAUGUCCCUUUUCACAAGAUGAUUUACUGUCUGAACGAUCCUCGGUGGCUCGGAUGUUCGUAAAAAAUAGAACCGUCGCCAAUUUGAAGUGGAGCGAGUCGGACAUACAGCAUACAUACAGUUGCCUACCAUACCGACCUUUGCGUGAGAGUUGACAGCCAUGUCAAAAUCCUGUGAUGCAUUGAAUCCGCGGAAUGUUAUGCGGGAACAUGAGCAAGUAUUUGACGACUACAGCAAAACAGGCCAGUACUGUAUGUGUACCGAUGCUUGUUUUGACAUGGGGACGAACUUGAUAUCAAGCUGUAGUUCUUGAAUUAUUUUGUGAUGGAGGACGAAGACUGAAACCUGCUCAAACAACAGCCUGAAUGCUGGAGCAGAGAUGAUCAGGAGGUGAUGCUUCACUGUGUUUUAAACACACCAUGGAAGUGAAGAAAGGAUUAUGCUGUCAGGAAUCAACGGGAGGUUUCACACACAACGCGUACUGUCUUUGGAUGGAGGCCUGGAAGGAGAAACAAUGACAUUGUAUCUGGUGGUGUUACUUUCUCUGGUGGUUGUCAAAAAGCCUCUCCUGCUUUGUCUCGCUCUGCGGCGUGAAAUUUACCACACAGUUGCUGCAAUGAGAGACGAGGACACGACGGUUUGUUGAAAUUAUUAAUCCCUCAAUGAAUAGAUGCCGUUGUUUCAUCCGGAGUGUGAGCAUGUUCCAAUGAGGAUUUGGAGGUGGACGUACGUGCAUAU